AGUGAACGCUGGCGGUAGGCCUAACACAUGCAAGUCGAACGGCAGCACAGUAAGAGCUUGCUCUUACGGGUGGCGAGUGGCGGACGGGUGAGGAAUACAUCGGAAGCUACUUUUUCGUGGGGGAUAACGUAGGGAAACUUACGCUAAUACCGCAUACGACCUACGGGUGAAAGCAGGGGAUCUUCGGACCUUGCGCGAUUGAAUGAGCCGAUGUCGGAUUAGCUAGUUGGCGUGGUAAAGGCCCACCAAGGCGACGAUCCGUAGCUGGUCUGAGAGGAUGAUCAGCCACACUGGAACUGAGACACGGUCCAGACUCCUACGGGAGGCAGCAGUGGGGAAUAUUGGACAAUGGGCGCAAGCCUGAUCCAGCCAUACCGCGUGGGUGAAGAAGGCCUUCGGGUUGUAAAGCCCUUUUGUUGGGAAAGAAAAGCAGCAGGUUAAUACCCCGCUGUUCUGACGGUACCCAAAGAAUAAGCACCGGCUAACUUCGUG
rnacentral:rRNA from 1 species